AUGAGGUUUUCAGAAACCAUCUUUGCUUCAUUAGUACCAGAUGUGGGCUCCAGAAGCAGAGAGCUAUCAGGGUUCACCAAGAUGAGCACUGAGACAGGCCCUUCUAGGUCUGAGGCUGAGGAAGCAGCAGCAACUUGGUGCCUGUCCCCACUCCCCCAGCUGUCUACAGCUCAGAAGCCAAAAGCUCAGCUACUCCUAUUUGGAGAUGCAGUAGAGUGCUUCCUGGUCCAGAUUGAUAAUAAAAUCCUCUUGAUUAUGAUACCCCUACCUGAACUUUGGGCAAAGAAAGAAAGAAGUGGCCAUAUAUUAAAUCAAGAAAAGUUAUAGAAAGCUUUUGGAGAAGAGUUGUUUAAAGUGCACUGGAUCACAUUAAAAAAAAAGAGGAUGAAAGAACAGCUGAGAAGAGAUCUACAGAGAAUCAAAGAAUAAUAAAACACAAAGUCUUUUAUUGAGAAACUGCACAAAUUAACUCCAAAUUACUACCACUGUCAUACAAGAGGAGGCUUCAAGGCACAAAACUUGUUGCUGCACUCCAUCUUGCUUUAUUGUGGUGUCUUCACUCAUGUACUAGUAGCUAAAAGCCAUCCUCUUUAGAGUACUACAUCUUUUAUCUCCUCUCUUCCCCCCUGUAUUUUAAUUAAAAGACAAUGAACCUUUUAAAGUAGUCAAAUGGAAAAUAUAAAAUUGCACCAUUUUAUCAGAGCUUAAGAUAUUCGUGUUCUCCAAUCAUGAGAAGAAUUCAAAAUAACAUACUUGGUAUUUUAUUACACGCCAGUCCCUCUCUGCCCUUUCUUUAUCGGGGCACUUGGUUGGAAGAGCUAUUUGAAACUAGAAAGGCAAUUCAACCUCAGACUGAUAAAUAGAGUUUUUGUUUUGUUUUUUUUUAAAGGCCAAGAAAGAUCAAUUUAAUCUAUUCUCUGGAUCAUCGUAGCUGAUUUUUAAUUUCUAAAAUAAUAUUGUUACUCUGCAUUUCUCCUAAAUUUAAGUGGCAGGUCUAAAAAUAAGUAGCCUGUCUUAUUUAAGCAUUAUUUACUCAUCAUGUUGUCAGUUUGAAGGCAUGUGGACUAAAAUAAGAAAAAUACAGUAAAAUGUUAUUGGAUGGUAAGAAGGCCGGAAUGCUUUGCUUUCCUCUAACUCUACAGCCUAAAUCUAUUAAUUUUGGCAAAGGGCACCAAGACAAAUCCAUGCUGUUUGAAAUGUUCCAUGGGAGCCUUUAAAAAUGAAGGUCUUGUCUACUCUUUAUGGACAUUAAAAUGCUUCAUCCCAAGGACCCUUUAUAGCAAAUUGCAAGCUGUUCUGUUUUAUCUGCUUUGACAGGAUGAAGGGCUGAGCUGGCCCUAGAGGGAUGGGAUACAGAGACUGAAUAGUUCAAACUUGAGAUUUCCAAUAAACCAUUUUCUACAAUUAGAAAAAAGACAUGGAAGAUAGUCAUUUCAGCAGAUAGUUUCAACCCAUUAAGAAUUACUUAUUGCAUCACUUAAAAUCUAACUAAAAUCAUGUUCCUUCAAUGCUUCACUCCAAACUAGCACUAAAGCCCUUAAAAUCAGCCU
ensembl:lincRNA